rnacentral:lncRNA from 1 species
AGGUAUAAUACCCUCUCCAAAUUCAUCGUCUAUGUAGAUUGGCACAGCUUCUCUCCAUCCAAAGGCUACAACAAUUGUACUAAUGGCUUUCACUUUAGAUGAGUCAUUUUGUGUAGCUCGGAAAAAGUAUGGACUCCGAAGGGAGGUAAGAGAAGGGCUUGUUGCCGAAAAUGAAAUGAUUGGAACUUGAGAUUUGUUUCCGAGAUUGAUAAGAAAAUUGGCCUGCAUUGAAGUGUGCGGCCCUAUGAUUGCUUGCACUUGUACAUUUUUUAUCAAGUCAAGAGCUGUUUGUCAAGCAAACAAAAUUCUGACUUAAAUAUAGUUGCUGUAGCUGGAUAAUCCUAGAUUAUAUAUGCUCUGACUACUCGUUAACUAAAUCUAUAUAUGCUCUGACUACUCGUUAACUAAAUCUACAUAUGUCUCAUGCCAAUUAUAUUUUUGCAAUAUACACAUACUUCUCUAUGGUAAUAAUACCUAUCACUCCUUUUCUUUAAGUCAUUUUCAAGAUAAACUAGUACAAAUAUUUUAAUAGAUUUUAAGCCAAAUAUUCUCGAUACAGCUAGUCUCGAGUUCAUAGUAUAAAAAUAUAUAUAUAUAUAUAUAUAUAAAGUGAAGGCAAAUUGAUCAGUCACAAAAUCUAAGAUAUACUAUAUUUAGCCCUUUUAUAUUAUUUUAUUUCAAUAUAAUACAAGUUAUUCAUUUAAAUUUGAUUUUAUAUAUAAAAUUUUUUCAAACUUAUUUUAUAGAAGGAGAAUUCAAACUUAAUUUUUAUAAAAAAGAUAAAUUAAUAUAUAUAUAUAUAUUUGAGAAUCAAAUAAUCAAGUAAGUAAAUAUUUAUAUAUAUUUUUUAAUACCGUAAAUCUUUUCCACUUAAAUAUUUGACUUCUUUAUAAGUAUAUCUUUCAUCUACUUAAAUAUUUAUAUUUUUAAAUAUUUUUUUAAUGUAGUCCUUCAACAUCUCAAUUUUAUUCAAUUUAAUUCAUGUACUAUACAUUUUUAUUUAAUUUAAUCUCUAUGUUGUGACACAAAAAAUUUUUAAAAUUUUUUUAAUCUAUCACAUGGCACUGACACGCUAGCAUGUCAAUGUCACAUCAACAUAUUAGUGCCAUGUGGUACUACCACAUCAUCAUAUUAGUGCCACAUGGCAUGCCACAUCAUCAUAUGGGUGCCACAUCAUCAUUGAUAUCAAUGCUGAUAUCAUCAUUUUAACAAAAAAAAUUGGAUACUGUUAAAAGAGGGAUUAAAUUGAAAAAAUUCUCAAAAUCAAAAUAUUAAAUUAUUUCGAUUUUGAAUAUAGGGAUUGAAUUGAACAAAAUACAUAAAUAUAGGGACUUGUUGGAUGUUUUGAUUAAGGUUGAAAGUUAAGAUUUCUAAAAGUUUUUCAUAUAUAUCAACUUUUUUUUUCUGAAAAAAAGGAAAAGGAAAGUCACAUGGAGAGAGGUGACAGAGGAAACGCGUACCAGCAGCAGCGGCGCCAAUAACGUCCUUGGAGUCCCUGGGGUUCAAGACAAUCCUGGUUCUGUAGGAAGCAUGAGUGGCGUAAAAGUCAGAGAGGGCCAUGUUGAUGCAGCUCAACCCAAUCUUCCCAAGCUUUGUAUCCAAGUCAAGAACCACCCCCACAUUAACAGGGAUGCUAUUGUUGUUUUGUGCAACAACCACAUGCAUCAACAAAACCUUGCACGAAAUGACCACGAGGUAGAAAAAAUGGAGGGGAGGGCUAGUUACUGCGGUAGCUUUUUGCAUCUUCAUUGAAGCUCUUGAGCAGGGUCUGGCCUUCACAAGAAGAUACUGAUAUUUACACUGGAUGAAUAAAAGAGCCGCAAUUGGAGAAAUUGCAUGGGUAAAUUCUGAAGGAUAUGGUUAGCACAACUCAAGACUGAAGAGUGAAUAAUUAAAUAAUAAUAAAAAACUUAUCUCCUCCUCCUUACAUAAGGGAGUGGGACAAUGUCGAUCUGAUGCCUAGAGAUAGAAUUUGUCUUGUUUCAGUAUCAAUCGUUUACCUUGACCAAAUCAAAAUACAGACAAAAAAAAAUCGACAUCACCUUGUUGCUCUCAAAUUAAUUAGAAAAGAAAUUCUGCUCCUCCAAAUUUGUAUCCUACGAAGAUUCUAUUGGAAGGGAAAUAACGGUCGGUCAGAGAUUGGUGGAUGGCUUUUCAUCAAGUUCCAAUCGUAUAUUUUGUCAGCAGGCAGGCAAGGAAAUUUGAGGCAGCUGGUGGCCCCUACUUUGGGUGUUGAAUAAAAAAAAAACACAAAUGAAAAACAUUACAUGUCCUAUUGGCCAUUGGGGGAAUAUCAGGACGACUGCCAGGAAACAAGUAACCCAAACAGUAGUCUACUACACAUGUUUAGAAGAAAUUUCAAGCUUUGACUUGAAUAAAACAUGGAGUAGUUUUGAGUUAUUUAAUAUUGUGCCAAAAAUAUAAAGAGAAGUUAAACUAAAGACAUGUAAAGUAACAUUUUAUGAAACUAAAAUUACUUAUCUUACCUUUGUAUUUUACUAGUACAUUUCAGGAUUUAUAUUUUCCAAGUUAGGCCAAUUUUUCUUUCUUUGAAAAGUUUUUGUCUUGUAAAAAUGUUGAAUUUGAGUAGCCUACUUAAUCAAUCAAUUUGUGUGGCAGCAAAUGUCCUUUCCUAGGAUCUAAUCAAUGACUUAAUUACUCAAAACAUUACAUCAUACAGCUUCUUUUCCAGGAAAGUGUAAGGAAAACAUGGGACUGAAAACUCGGGACUCUUAAUUGAUAAUGAAAGGCCACAAGUAGCAUUUGAUUUGAGGCAAAUUAAGCAAUGGUUAUUAAAUUAAUCAUGACUUGGAGUAUAUUUGUCAAUUCAAAAAAGAAAGAUUCUCUACUUACUUUAUACUAAAAUCCUAUGCUUCUCUAUUAGUAUAAAUUAAUAAAAAAUAAAGUAAAAUACUGUUAUUCUCUUAAUUUUUAAUCAUAAUUCUAGACGAGUCUAUUAAUUUUCAAAAUGAACAUUUUAUCUAAAAAGUGUAAAUAUUGUUAAUAAAAAUUAUAAAAUGACUAAAACACAUUUUCUUUUUUUUUUCUUUCAAACAAUAUGAUCAGUCGACGACAAGAACACCGAUCAAGUUCUCCUUAGGACCCUAGAAGCUCCUCGACUUCUUUUGGCAAAAAAAAAAAUUACAAAAAAAAUAAUAUAAUAAUUUUUAAAAUUAAUAAAAAGUAAAAUUAUCUUUUUAAUAUUGUCACGUCAUCAAACUAACAGAAAUAUUAACAGUUGAUUGAUGGCUAGACCUAUGUGUUUAGGAGAAGAUAUUUUUUAAGAUAAAGUAUUCAUUUUAAAAAUUAAUGAACCCGCUUGGAGUUAUGACUAAAAGUAAAAGUGAGAGUAUUUAUCUUAAAAAUUAUAAUAAUGAAAAAGUAAUAGUAUUAAUUAGGAAGGAUAUGAAGUAACUAUUGCAAAAGCUUUGACCUCAUGUCUUGUUAAUUAAUUAAGGAAACAUUUUGUCUCCUGAUUUUUCCAGGAAACCAAACGCCUCCCUCUUCUAUCCUUGUUUUUCCUUCCUUCUUAUUGCUCCAUAUUAUUUUAUUUUCUUGCACUUGCUUCACAAUCAUAUGGCUUAUUUUAUGUAUGCAACCACAACUCUAAACAUCUUCAACUAGGAUUUUAUAUUGUCUCUUCCAUCCUCUACACCAUCAUAGGCAAAUAUAUCUAUAUCUAAACAUUUGACUCAUUGAUUGGUGCAUGAUCCCCUUACCUAAAAAGCAAAGUUUGAAUCCCCUCUCUCUCAAUUAAAAAAAAAUUCAUAUAUAUAUAUAUAUAUAUAUAUAUAUAUAUUACCCUUAUCCUUUUUCCAUUUUACCCUGAGUCUAGCACCCGCUUAACCAGCUUGACUUCCAAUCUUAGGGACUCACUUUGACUUUGAACAAGGAAUUGAUAACGACCUUUAUCUUUAAUAAUCUCAAUAAUCAAGCAUACUUUUCCUGAGUUGGAAAAUUCGGUGUAGAUGAAAAAUUUGAAUUAAAAUUUUUCGAUACUGACUCAAUUUUUUAAAAGUUUUCCCCAAUUUCAUGAUUAUUUAUUUAAUCGAAUGUACUAAUCAGCCAACAUAUUCAUCCGUUAAAAAUUGGAGCAAAUGUUGGCAUGUUUAGAAACAACCAUGCAUAUGUAUUUGGGACCAUUCUAUGAGUUACUUAUAGAUUAUCUUGAUAUUUUCAAUCCCUAGAUUUUAAAUUUUUUUCUUAAUCAAAGGUAAAUUUUAUUGAGUAUCAAAUGUUUGAUAAGAAAGAUAGCAAGAAAAGGAACAAUAUGUGCCUAGCCCAUUGUUAUUAUGUAGAUUUUAUGUAUUAUUAAUGAACUAAAUAUUUUCACAUAAUUAAUAAAAAAAAUUUAAAGGUUGAGUAGUCUAAAAAAUGAAUACUUAUAAUUCUAAAAAUAUAUAUUUUGAAAUUUUUUUUAAAUUUUUAUCUUUACACAUUUAUAAAGUAAUGUUAUGUAAUUAAAUAAUAAUAUAUAAAUAUUAUACAUUGACGGUAUACUAAAUAUACCUAUAGUGCUAUUUCUUGGAAGUUUUCUCAAAUACAAACCUCAAUAUUAUUUUUUUUUAUAUAUAAAAACGUUAAGCCACCAUCACUGAUAUUGUAACUGCUUAAUUCCAGUGCAACUAUCUCACGGAAGCUGACUAAGUCCAAGGUUGUUUGGGAGUGCCCACCCAAGGGUUGGUUCAAGUUCAAUACCAAUAGGGCAGCUAGGGGUUGUCCGACGCAUCUUGGGAUUGGAGGGGUUCUACGCGACGACACAAGGGCUGUCAAGCUCGUCUUCUCAAAGAAUGCUAGUUAGGGUGAUGCCAAUCUCGAAGAGGUGUUAGCAGUUUAAGAGGCCAUUUUAUAGCCUCCUCCUGGGUGCAUUCUUAUAGCAUUAUCAUUGAAUCUGACUUUAGGAGUGUUGUGUCUUGGGUGUCCGAUCCUACUAAAGCUUCGUCAAGGGUGAGACAACUUAUCCUUCAGAUUUGCUCACUCAAAAAUGCAGUUGCUAGCUGGCAGAUCAGGCAUAUUUCAAGAUCAGUAAUGAGGUUGCUGACAUCCUUGCCAAAUUAGGGGUUGACAGAGUCCAUGAUUUGUUACGCUUUCAGCCUUAAUUGUUGUUGUGACUUUGUGCUUGCGGGGAUUUUUAGGUUAUUGCUUUAGUGUGGAGUUGCUGCCUUUCUCAUUCAUGUGAAGGUAAUGUCUAAUCCGGGGAAUGUCAUGCUUUUGUCAAAUUUGCAAGAGGAGUAAACAUCCAUGAGGGCCAUGUUUCUUACUCUUGUUUAUCAUUUUGCCUAUUUUUGUUUUAGGAUGCGAUUUACUGCUAAGGAGAUAUGAGCACUUUUUUUUGUAUAGUUACAGGUUGUUUCUGGCUAUAUUUUUGUAAGCCAGACUUCCAAUAAGGUCCUGCUCAUUGUGUAUAUGGGAUUUUCCCUUUUGUUAAUGAAGUUUACCAUCUUUAAUUUUCCAAAAAAAAAAAAAAGGUUUAAGCCUCGUCAUUAUUUCAGUCAUAGUCGAAGAAACAACUUAACUAUUUGCAUGCAUUACACAUUACAUCAGGCUUAAACCAACAAUAUGACUCCGUGCGACUCCUUUGCUUGUAAUGGGGACAAAUAGGGAAUCUUGUUAUCCUGUUCUAAACUUUUCUUCCCUGUGAGUUUCCUCUUUCUUUAUCCUUGACUUCACUCACAUAUUUCUUAGUUGAAGCUUCUGCAUGUGCCUUUUCCCUUCAUUCAAAUAGUAAAGGCAAGAUCAACUUUUUCAUUUUUCCUAGCAACUUUCCUUUAUUCAUCAACUUCUAAAACAUUCACCAAAUCUGAUAUAGAGCUCUGUGAGAUGUCUUUCACUUGUUCCAAAGAAGAAACUGUGGCAUCAAACCUUUUAGGUAAACUGGUAAGGACUUUCUCCACAACCUUAGCAUCAGAUAAAGUCUCUCUCAACAGUCGAAUUGGAUUUUCCAGCUUCAUCACUGCAUUAAUGAAUUCUUGCACAGUCUGACUUUCUCUCAUCCUCAGAAGUUCAUAUUGCCUUCUGAAGUUCUGUAGAUGAAUUGGCUUGUUUAUGGCAGACCCCAAAAGUUCUUCUUCAAGUUUGUUCCAACCCUGUUUUGCUGUCUCACAUCCCAUAAUCAGGCUGAAAACGGACUCUGUAACAGCUGAGUGUAUGAAGGAUAAGGCUCUGAAUUUCUUUGCAAUAUCCUCUUCAUAUUGCUUCACCUAUGUUAGUGUGGCAUUAUCUCUCAAUGCUGGUACAUCUGUCUCAUUUUCAACUGCAUUCCAUAGAUUGACACCUUUCAAGAAUGCUUUCAUUCUAAUGGCCCAAACAAGAUAGUUAGAGGCAUUGAAAAUGGGCGUAGUUUGACAUUUUGAUGAAGAAUAAACUUGUGAUGAGUGAGAAAGAGGUUUUAAUUGGCUCACAGAUUGGUUAUCUGCUUUGAUAUCAUGUCAUGAAGCUAAAAAAAGAUGAUAAAAAUAGUAUUAUAUACUGUUCUGUAGAAAAAGGAAAAACAUAGAGCAAGCUGGAGAAGGAAAGAUGCUUCAUUAAUUACUAAACAGAUAAUAUAUAUAUACAAGCAUCAUAUGGUUAACAACUGUUUACAAAGUGUACAAGUGUUAUUAACUAAAACAUGCACUAAAACACCUUAUAAACACUGGUAUAAUAUUCUUAAUAACUAGUACAAUGAAGCAAAAUACAUAGUAAAAAACAAAAUGAUAAAGUUAAUGCAUGCUUUAACUCUAACUUGUACAUCAAUUUAUAUUCUUCAUUACCGACGUUGUCACUGGAGCAAAGGGGAAUAUCUACACCAAUUAUUCUCUGGGGCCAUUUGUAGUGUUACCAAGCUCAAUAGAAUGUCUUUCAGGAAAAGGGAAUAUCUCCGGAGAAGCUGUAACGCUUGGGGUAAUAUCACCAUUUUCAGCUACUCUUCGUUGAUCUGCCAAGAACACAAAGUCUGGCUCUGUUUGGUUUGAGUAGCUUGAUGGACUUGGUGGGCAGUUAGUGUUUGGUGAGUCUCCUGCAACACUAAUACUAUGAACACUAUCAUUUCUGCUUUUGUCUUCGAGUUCGCUUUUUCUGAAAGUAUGGGAGCUAAGGUCUUUUUGGUCGAAAAUUCUUGACAUGAUCUGAAUUCUUCUCCAGAAAGGAGUUUCAGAAUCAAAAUGCAACAAGACAUGCCUUUGCUCAUAAAAAAAUAUUGCUGCAAAUAUGAUUAGAGCUGAUAUUGAGGCGACUCCAGCAAUAAGGAACAAGCCCCCAAAACUCUCAACACCAAGACUGUUGGAAGAAACCAAAGUGUUGAGGUCAGGACAACUGCUUCCCUUAUUGAACCAGGCCUGUUCAAUUUGAUUCAUUUUUUCACCCUCAGUAACAUUUAGGACUGCCCUAGAAACAUCUGCUACAAGAGGGGAACCUCUAGGGAAGACCUAUAAAUUGCAAAAUAGUAUAAUCACAAAGAAACAUCCCAUAUGGUUAGAGAAAAGAUUAGAGAUUGAGAGAGAACUCACAAAACCGAAGCCAUCAGUUCUCAAUUUUGGUUCGACUGCGGUAUAUUCGUAGCAAUAUUUGGCGAGAAAGAGCUUCAUAUAAGGAAUUUCGUCCAAAGUAGCAACAACCCCACCAUUGGCACUUCCUUUGGUAAAGAGAUCAUGAAGUUCUUCCGGGGACUGGUAUUCUAUGAGCUGGGAUUCAGGAAAUCUAAACUGACCCUUCAAGAUUCCUUCGAUAAAGGAGUCUUUCAGGAAACCAACCUUUUCCCCUUUCUUUAAGAGCUCUUGUAUGUCAGUUACCGUAGGUUGGAGCUGUUGCACAGUUAGAAGUGAAGUCAAACUAGCCGUGUAGCUUUGGGUGAGAAUGAGGACGACGAAACACCAUAUUAUUACCACGAAUCGAGCCAAGUUACUGACAACUCUCUCCCCUGCAAUUACAAUCCAAGAAGCAAAGAAAGUAAACAAUCUGAAGUAAAUAGUACAACUUCGUAAAUAGAGAAGGUGAAAGAAUUAUUACGAUGUGCAAACACCAUGGUCGAGAAGGAGAACCAGAAACUCGUGCCAGCUUGAUGCGAAGGGGGUCCCCUGAAAUCUUCAUUUAUUCUGUGUUCUAGAACCCAAACAACAAAUCCGAUGAAAAGGAAAAAGCAAGCACUUGUCAUCCAGAGGUCCCAUGUCAGAGGUUUCAAGAAAACCCAUGCAUUCUUCCUCCUGUUAUCUCUGAUCGGUACAAACAUUGAUACACCUGAUUCAGUGUAUGGUAAUGUGAAGUCCACGUACUGUGACCUGUUUGCCACAAUCGUUGUAUCUCCUACCACCGCAUCGUAUGUCUGUUCAUUUUUGCCAAAAAAAUUAAUGAAAAUUCCUGUUGACAAACUCAACGUAUAAAGAAGAUAAGGAGAUGUUUUACCCCAUUGUACACUUGAAAGAUUAAGUCAUCAUAAGUCCCGGCGCUCUUGCCAUCUGGUGUUGUAAAGGGAAUGAACUCAUAAGUAACAGCAUAAGGCAUUGCAGCCAUUACAGCAUAAAAAACAUCUAUGCAAUAUCUGGUGACUGAAGCAGCUGUAUGAGAAUUAAAAUCCCAUGUUUAACAAAUUCACUGAAACCACCCUUCAUUGGAACCCCAAUCCUCAACUUCUUCUCAUUUGUUGGAAUCUCCCAGCCUUUUGGAGGAGAGGUGGUAUCCCCUGGCCAUAUGAUGGGGCCAAGAUUUGGCUUAUGAGUAGAAUUAGUGCUUCUGUUUGCCAAAUUCAAUUCUUUUACAAGUCCACUUUUUGGUGUCCAAAACCCGACUCUUCUUUCCCCAUUUCCAUUUACGUUAACAAUCUGAAAAACUGGUGAUUGUAGCUGUCCAUUAACAAAAUUAAUGUCUCCAGUAAGACCCUUGAAUUUAGUGCUUGACAAUGCUUGGAUAAGUUGUGGACCAUUUUGCGAGACGCCGAGAGAUUCAAGAUCUGUUCCACUGCUAGAAACAUUAGUUUUGUUGAAGCUGAAGUUUCCCAUGCUAACAUUCUCAAUUGCCAUGGCUAGUGCAAAAGUGGCAUCAUAAGCCCACGGUCCAAAAAUGUUCAACUCAGCAUUAAUAAUGGUGGGAUUGUCUUGCUGGAAUUUCCUUUUCCAUCGAACUUUAAAAUUUUCUAACUCAUUUGUUCCGGGAACGUAAGUCCUUACACCUAAAACCCCUUGCAUGGAAUCGAUGGUUGGAGGGUCUGUUAAACUCCAAAGAUUAGUCAUUCCAUCUGUCACGAUCCAAGCAUAACCUUCACUCAUCAUUCCAACCUCUUUCGCUAAGGCAAAAAGCCUGGUGCCGAGAGAUGGUGGCAUAUGCACAAUGAACACUCUUGUUUGCAUCGUCAAUAGCUUGUAAAGCUCUUUUGAAAUUUGGUCAUCGCUAGCUGGUGAAGGGAUGACACUUUGGUAUGGGACACGAACAUUGAUCCCUUGCAAGGCGUCUGUCAAGUAAGGUAUAAUACCCUCUCCAAAUUCAUCGUCUAUGUAGAUUGGCACAACUUCUCUCCAUCCAAAGGCUACAACAAUUGCACUAAUGGCUUUCACUUGAGAUGAGUCAUUUUGUGUAGCUCGGAAAAAGUAUGGACUUCGAAGGGAGGUAAGAGAAGGGCUUGUUGCCGAAAAUGAAAUGAUGGGAACUUGAGAUUUGUUUCCGAGAUUGAUAAGAAAAUUGGCCUGCAUUGAAGUUUGCGGCCCUAUGAUUGCUUGCACUUGUACAUUUUUUAUCAAGUCAAG